UACGGAGGGUGCGAACGUUGUUCGGAAUCACUGGGCGUAAAGCGCGUGUAGGCGGCACGUUAAGUCAGAUGUGAAAGCCCUCGGCUUAACCGAGGAAGUGCAUUUGAAACUGGCGAGCUAGAGUACGGGAGAGGGUGGUAGAAUUCCAGGUGUAGAGGUGAAAUGCGUAGAUAUCUGGAGGAAUACCGGUGGCGAAGGCGGCUACCUGGACCGAUACUGACGCUGAGACGCGAAAGCGUGGGGAGCAAACGGG
rnacentral:rRNA from 1 species